rnacentral:rRNA from 1 species
AUGUUGGGUAGGGCUAGGGGAAAGACCAAGUCAAUUAAUGAUUUGGAUUCAGAACAAGUUACAAAGAAAUCAAAAGUCCUCGCAAGAGUAAUGGAUGAGUAUUUCAGACGGGACAAGGCGUAUUUUCCUAUGCACGUUAAUGAUAAUCAUUGGAUAACCAUAGUGAUGCACACCGUCAAGGAUGAGUUUCAAGUUCUUGACUCAAAUUCGAAAGGCGCAAUUAGCCAAAGAAUUCGCAAUAUGAUUGCCACCCUGGCCAACUCUAUUCUUGAAUUAAAAAAAAUCCAGAUGUCUCAUCGUGGCCAAUUAAUGAGUAUAAAAUGCCGAGACAACAUGAUGGAGUGUCUUGUGGACUUUUUGUGA